UGGGGAAUAUUGGUCAAUGGGGGCUACCCUGAACCAGCCAUGCCGCGUGCAGGAAGAAGGCUUUCUGAGUUGUAAACUGCUUUUCUUAAGGAACAAAAAGAUCAUGCGUGGUCAAUUGAGUGUACUUAAGGAAUAAGCACCGGCUAACUCCGUGCCAGCAGCCGCGGUAAUACGGAGGGUGCGAGCGUUGUCCGGAUUUAUUGGGUUUAAAGGGUGCGUAGGCGGUCGAUUAAGUCAGUGGUGAAAGCCUAGACACUUAAUGUCAGAAGUGCCAUUGAUACUGAAGAGCUUGAGUCAAGGAGAGGUAAGCAGAAUUUGUGGUGUAGCAGUGAAAUGCUUAGAUACCAUGAGGAAUACCAACAGCGAAGGCAGCUUACUGGCCUUGUUCUGACGCUGAGGCACGAAAGCGUGGGGAGCAAACAGGAUUAGAUACCCCUGUAGUCC
rnacentral:rRNA from 1 species